UACGGGAGGCAGCAGUAGGGAAUUUUCCACAAUGGGCGAAAGCCUGAUGGAGCGACGCCGCGUGCGGGAAGAAGGCCUUCGGGUUGUAAACCGCUUUUGUUGGGGAUGAUUAGGGGGUAGAUAAUACCUACCUCCAAGGACAGUACCCGACGAAUAAGCCUCGGCUAACUAC
rnacentral:rRNA from 1 species